rnacentral:rRNA from 1 species
ACUACGGGAGGCAGCAGUAGGGAAUCUUUCACAAUGGGCGAAAGCCUGAUGGAGCAACGCCGCGUGCAGGAUGAAGGCCUUCGGGUUGUAAACUGCUUUUAUAAGCGAGAAAUAUGAUGGUAACUUAUGAAUAAGGAUCGGCUAACUACGUGCCAGCAGCCGCGGUCAUACGUAGGAUCCGAGCAUUAUCCGGAGUGACUGGGUGUAAAGAGUUGCGUAGGUGGCAUAAUAAGUAGCUAGUGAAAUCUGGUGGCUCAACCAUUCAGACUAUUAGCUAAACUGUUAAGCUCGAGACCGUUAGGGGUAACUGGAAUUUCUAGUGUAGGAGUGAAAUCCGUAGAUAUUAGAAGGAACACCAGUGGCGAAGGCGGCCUGCUGGACGAUGACUGACGUUGAGGCUCGAAAGCGUGGGGAGCAAACAGGAUUAGAUACCCUUGUAGUC